GUAGGUGGCAAGCGUUGUCCGGAAUUAUUGGGCGUAAAGCGCGCGCAGGCGGUUCUUUAAGUCUGAUGUGAAAGCCCACGGCUCAACCGUGGAGGGUCAUUGGAAACUGGAGAACUUGAGUACAGAAGAGGAAAGCGGAAUUCCACGUGUAGCGGUGAAAUGCGUAGAGAUGUGGAGGAACACCAGUGGCGAAGGCGGCUUUCUGGUCUGUAACUGACGCUGAGGCGCGAAAGCGUGGGGAGCAAACAGGGAUUAGAUACCCUGGUAGUUCACGCCGUAAACGAUGAGUGCUAAGUGUUAGGGGGUUUCCGCCCCCUUAGUGCUGCAGCUAACGCAUUAAGCACUCCGCCUGGGGAGUACGGCCGCAAGGCUG
rnacentral:rRNA from 1 species